GGAGUUGUAGCUCAGCAGUAGAGCACUUGCCUCCUAUGUAUGAGGCACUGGGUUCAAUUCCA
rnacentral:tRNA from 1 species